rnacentral:lncRNA from 1 species
CAAAGCUAUUUAACAGCAUGGUUCAUGCUUCUUGGUAUGGUUUGCAGGUUCUAGGCACAGAUGACUGGAAGGAGAGAAAAAGACAGGACACGUAACUAGGAAGAGAAAUAAGGAAUAAGGAGAUCAAGAAAAGAAAGGAUAAAAGGAGCUGCAUCUGGUCAGGAAGGGCAGCUGCCAUCCUAAUUACCUUUGGUGCCUCAUGGGCACACCGAUGACACAGGUGUUUCUCCUUGUCUUAAAUGAUAAAUAGCUCCCAGCUGGCCUACCCUAAGUGAAUGACUCUCACAGGUGAAUAAUGGUUAGGUUUCAUUAGGACUCAGGCAUUUUUAGGGCUUCUUGGAAGGUUCAUCAAGAUCCAUUUAUUGUAGGAAGAUAGAUUGGUUACAGGGAUUGGUCAAUUGGUUAUCUUCUCAAGCAAUUUCUGAGCUAAAAUCUGAACCACUGCUGUGCUCUUUUAGACCCUCUGCCUUUUUUAAAUCACUAAAAAAAGAAAAACCAACAAUCACUAUGGAAUGUAAAGAAAUUACCUUGGGUACAUCUUUAAGGGUAUAGAAAGGGAGUCAAGGAAUUGUUAGACCUCACUUUGUCUCUAACGUCCAGGACUGGGUUAGGGAUCCUGUCCAGGCUUGCCCGUGGUGCCCUGUGCUUCAUUCCUGGUAACUCAGAAGCCUAUUUGCCCAACUCUUCACUAUCCUGAAGCCAGUGAAUGGAUAAUUUGAUGCAACAGCACAGGUUUAAUAGCAGGUUGAAAGCAUCUAAAAGAAACAGUAAGUGCAAAGUGAUACCAUCUGGUAGCUUAUCCAUGAGCACAAAUCAUCUCAGUUUUCAGAAUUCACAGGAAUAAGAGUACCUACUCUGUGCCAGAAACGUCCCAAUUAUUAUUUAAUCCUCACAACAACUGUAGAAGGAUGGAUUCUAAUCUCCAUUUACCAACAAGGAGACUGAUGGUCAGCGUGGCCUCAUCAAUGUUUACAGAGGGGAAGAGUGAAGGACAAUAUGGAACGAGGCCAGGAGUGUUGUGUUCUCUCCAAAUGGAAGGAAACCUCUGGAAUGGGAAAGAAGCAUUCCCUCCUAACAUGGUGUGUUCCUAGAAGGAGAUUCUGAGGAAGACAUGGACCUUCUCAGAAGAAAGUGCACUCCAGAUACCUGAAAAUGUACAUUCUACUUGGUGUUAUUCAGAAAUCUAUGGAAAUCAAUCCAUGGCCUACUUUGGAAUCCAUAGAUCACAAAUCCCAUUUUAAACACAAAUCUAAGUUUAAAUAACUAUGUUCAUUGUGAUUAUAAAACAAAAAUUAAAUCUUAAAUUUUUGAUGGAAUACAUAUAUAAUAAAAAUAAUAUUUUAAAUACAAUAGAUAUGGACAAAACCUUCAAGGAAAGCAAUACACCUAAAUACACACGUGCACACACAUACCAGGAAGCAAGGGGGUGAGUGGCAGGAAAAAAAUGCAUAUUUUUUCUCAUUUGUUCAGGGAAUAGAUUAAAAGAUAUGGCAAUGUUUGGUAGGUUUAAGCAAGUAUAUAAAGAUAUAAAAGUAACAUUUAGAAAAAUUGGAGAAAAAGAAUACAUUCUAAUGGUGAGAAAAAAUAAAUACAGAAUAUUACAGAUAGAUUAAUUAAACACGGUAACAUUUUAAUAAUCAGUGUAUCUAGGCAGUGAGUAUAUGGCUGUUCGUUGCAUAUCAUUCUGUCAACUUUUCUAUAUAUUAAAUUUUUUUCACAAUAAAACCAUGUGUGAUGAGAAAAAGAAGCAAACUAUGCAGUAAAGGCUAAAGAAGAAAAAUCAUAAAAGCUAUUCUAGAAUUGCUCUAAUAAAAUUUAAAAACAAAUCUCAAACGGAGUAAGCUGAGUAAUGUAGCUGUUUCCCUCUCACAAUUCAAAUACUCCUUAAAAUAAAACCAGUAAGUCCAAAUUACUCAGAAACAUAAUACUCAUAAGGUGUGGCAUCUAAUCAUCUAAUCAAAAAUUAUAAGAUAGAGAUGAAGCAGGAAACUGUGACCCAUAAUGAAGAGAAAAAAUUCAAUCAUAGAAACGGGUAUAGAAAUAACAGAGCUGGUGAAAUUAUCAGAAAAUGAUGUUUAAAACCACAAGUGUAAAUAUGUUCAAGGAUUUAAAGGAAAACAUGAAGAAAUAAAUAGAACAUAUGGA